CUACCAGGUUUGGCCAUUGAACCCUGUGCCCAUGUCACUCUUGGAAGUCACAAGGUGAAGCCACCAGAGCCUCUGUCAGCUAGAAGAACACUCAUGGCUGUGGCUGUGAUGGGAUUCUUCCCUGAGAAGACUUUGUUCCAGAAGCUCGUCCCGGAAGCUGGAUGGUGAUGUGGAGAGGCAAUGAGAUCAUUAAGAGACAGAGCCUUGUGGCAAGUAAGUGGGUCACUGAUGGCCCUGUCUUCAGAAAAGAUUAGUACUCAUCUCAAGGGAUACAUCUGUCCUUCCAAGAAUGAGUUGCUAUAAAAGGACCCUGCCUGCUCCUGCAUCCACUGACUUCCUACUUUGCGUUGCAUGUGGGUGUCAUUGUGACGCCACUCACCAUGAGGUCAUCACUGGAGACUCAAUUAAUAGGCCGUUCAGUCUUGACCUCUUAGACUCAAAGACUGAGUUAAUAAACACCCUCCUUUA
ensembl:lincRNA Gm37336 predicted gene, 37336